UACGUAGGGUGCAAGCGUUAAUCGGAAUUACUGGGCGUAAAGCGUGCGCAGGCGGUUUUCCAAGACAGAUGUGAAAUCCCCGGGCUCAACCUGGGAAUGGCAUUUGUGACUGGGAGGCUAGAGUGUGUCAGAGGGGGGGUAGAAUUCCACGUGUAGCAGUGAAAUGCGUAGAGAUGUGGAGGAAUACCGAUGGCGAAGGCAGCCCCCCUGGGAUAACACUGACGCUCAUGCACGAAAGCGUGGGGAGCAAACAGG
rnacentral:rRNA from 1 species